rnacentral:ncRNA from 1 species
CAUCGAGACCGGCAGAGGGACAGGCCCUUUGAAGCCGGGGCAGCCCGCAGACGCGAAAGCGACCCUGCGUAGGUGCCAAAUCCUGCGGAGACCGUUGGUGUCUUCCGAAAGAUG